AGAGUUUGAUUAUGGCUCAGGAUGAACGCUAGCUACAGGCUUAACACAUGCAAGUCGAGGGGCAGCAUUGGAGUAGCAAUACUUCAGAUGGCGACCGGCGCACGGGGUGAGUAACACGUAUCCAACCUGCCGCUUACUCGGGGAUAGCCUUUCGAAAGAAAGAUUAAUACCCGAUGGUAUAAAGAGUUCGCAUGUUCUCUUUAUUAAAGAAUUUCGGUAAGCGAUGGGGAUGCGUUCCAUUAGAUUGUUGGCGGGGUAACGGCCCACCAAGUCUACGAUGGAUAGGGGUUCUGAGAGGAAGGUCCCCCACAUUGGAACUGAGACACGGUCCAAACUCCUACGGGAGGCAGCAGUGAGGAAUAUUGGUCAAUGGACGAGAGUCUGAACCAGCCAAGUAGCGUGAAGGAUGACUGCCCUAUGGGUUGUAAACUUCUUUUAUAAGGGAAUAAAGUGAGGGACGUGUCCCUUUUUGUAUGUACCUUAUGAAUAAGGAUCGGCUAACUCCGUGCCAGCAGCAGC
rnacentral:rRNA from 1 species